GACAGUGGCAAUAGCACGUUGAAUGCACCAGUUCCCAACCGAUCACUGAAGUUAAGCAAUGUUGCGCGUGGUUAGUACCUGGAUGGUGACCAUCUGGGGAAUCCGCGUGCUGCUGGGU
rnacentral:rRNA from 1 species